CAGGAUGAACGCUAGCGGCAGGCUUAACACAUGCAAGUCGAGGGGCAUCGGGAGUAGCAAUACUGCCGGCGACCGGCGCAAGGGUGCGUAACGCGUGAGCAACAUGCCCGUAUCAGGGGGGAUAAUCCAUGGAAACGUGGUCUAAUACCCCAUAGUAAUUAUGUAAGGCAUCUUAUAUAAUUUAAAGCUUUGGUGGAUACGGAUUGGCUCGCGUGACAUUAGCUGGAUGGUAAGGUAACGGCUUACCAUGGCUACGAUGUCUAGGGGUUCUGAGAGGAAGGUCCCCCCACACUGGAACUGAGACACGGUCCAGACUCCUACGGGAGGCAGCAGUGAGGAAUAUUGGACAAUGGAUGGAAAUCUGAUCCAGCCAUGCCGCGUGCAGGAAGAACCGGCCCUAUGGGUUGUAAACUGCUUUUGUAUGGGAGCAAUAAGGGCUACGUGUAGUCCGAUGAGAGUACCAUACGAAUAAGCACCGGCUAACUCCGUGCCAGCAGCAGC
rnacentral:rRNA from 1 species